rnacentral:misc_RNA from 1 species
GAAAUGCGAUAAGUAAUGUGAAUUGCAGAAUUCAGUGAAUCAUCGAAUCUUUGAACGCACAUUGCGCCCGCCAGUAUUCUGGCGGGCAUGCCUGUUCGAGCGUCAUUUCAACCAUCAAGCCCCCGGCUUGUGUUGGGGACCUGCGGCUGCCCGCAGGCCCUGAAAAACAGUGGCGGGCUCGCUGUCACACCGAGCGUAGUAGCAUACAUUCUCGCUCAGGGCGUGCUGCGGGUUCCGGCCGUUAAACGACCUUCAUAACCCAAGGUUGACCUCGGAUCAGGUAGGAAGACCCGCUGAACUUAAGCAUAUCAAUAAGCGGAGGACUGUCUCCUUAUACACAUCUCCCCGAGCCCACG